GACGAACGCUGGCGGCGUGCCUAACACAUGCAAGUCGAACGAUGAAACCGGAGUUUGCCCUGGGGGAUUAGUGGCGCAGGGGUGAGAAACACGUGAGUAACCCGCCCUGGACUCUGUGAUAAGCGUUGGCGACGACGUCUAAUACCGGAUAGGACCUUGGGAAGCAUGAUGUGGGGUGGAAAGCUUGUUCUGUCUGGGAUGGACUCGCGGCCUAUCAGCUUGUUGGUGAGGUAAUGACUCACCAAGGCGUCGUCAGGUAGCCGGCCUGAAAGGGUACCCAGCCACGGUGGGGCUGAGUCAGGGAGGAAGCUGUUGCGAAAGGCAGCAAUGGGGAAUAAGGCACAAGGAGCGAAAGCGUGAGGCAGCAACAGGGCUUGCGAGAGGACAGCCCUCUGGUUGUGGACCAAGUUUAGUAGGGAAGAAGGGCUCCGGCUUGACGGUACCUACAGAAAAAGGACCGGCUAACUACGUG
rnacentral:rRNA from 1 species